AUUUUCUAAAAGUAUUGAUAUGCAAAGAGAUUAAUAUGUAAAUUAUUAAAACGGUUUUAUAAAAGUUCAUUUAAAAUGAAUUGUCGGAUACCACGGAUGUUGAAAUAGAUUUAUGACAAUGAUGAUGAAGAUGCAUUACUUUCUACACAGUUGGCAUGCGUGAUUGGAUACAUCAAAAACAAAUACCACACACA